UACAGAGGUCUCAAGCGUUGUUCGGAUUCAUUGGGCGUAAAGGGUGCGUAGGCGGCGCGGUAAGUCGGGUGUGAAAACUCUGGGCUCAACCCAGAGACGCCACCCGAUACUGCUGUGACUUGAGUACGGUAGGGGAGUGGGGAAUUCCUGGUGUAGCGGUGAAAUGCGCAGAUAUCAGGAGGAACACCAGUGGCGAAGGCGCCACUCUGGGCCGUAACUGACGCUGAGGAGCGAAAGCGUGGGUAGCAAACAGG
rnacentral:rRNA from 1 species